ACCUAGGGUAGCUGAGUCCGCAGAGCACAAGACUCUUAAUCACUGGGUUGUGGGUUCGAGCCCCAUGUUGGGUU